UCCUCGAUAGCUCAGUUGGUGAGAGCACCGGACUGGUGAUUCGGAGAUUGCGGGUUCGGGUCCCGUUCGAGGAG